GGGGAUGACAGGCUUCGACAGGGAGGGCUGGUCAGCGAUAGCAAGCCGAGGUGCCUCACCCUCGUAAAACAGGGGCAAACACAAUAAGUGCCAACAACACUUAUGCUCCGGCCUACGCAAUGGCCGCCUAGGCGAUCAUAGCGUAAGCCACCUGACCGGUAAUAGCCCGGUCACGUUCGCCUCGCCCUUUUCCCGAGAGUGCGAGAGCGGGCGUCGAUCAAGUCGGGAUGC
rnacentral:tmRNA from 1 species